AGAUGAGGAUGGAGGGCUGGGAGGAUAGUAAGAGAGGGAGCAGGGAGACCAGUUACGGGCCACUGAAGUAGUCAAGGUGUCAGACAAGAGCUUUGAGACAAGAGGACUCGUCUUAGAGAUAGAUUGCAUGAGGGCCAUGAGGGUAAGGGAGGUGUCCAAGCUGACCUCAGCCUUCUGGCUUGUCCACUGGUUGGAUGGGGUCACCAUUUUAUUGUAAUGGCGGAUACUGGUUGCAGAGAACUGAGUGUUGGAGGACCAUGAAUGAGUUCCAUUUCAGAUCUGCUCAGCUUGCUGUCCCUGGGAGACAACCACAGGAGUUGUUUAGGAGACACCGGGCUACUUCAGCCUGGAGCUCCAGGAGGAGGUCUGCAUUGGUCGUUGGGACAAUAGGACCAGGCAAACUCCAGGCUGAGAAAAGGACAAGUCCUCAGGUUUGAAGAUGUCUCCUCAUCAAAAUACUUCUACAUCACUCUUCAUUUUAUCCUUGACACACUAGCUGAGAGGCUGCCUGGAGGGUCCUGGGCCCUUGUUUUAGGGCACAUAAAAAUGAAGACCUCAUCACCAAGGGAAGGCCCCUGCAUCAGGUCUAACUAACCUGCACCAAGCCACGCCGCACACCAGACCACUCCAGCUUGACCACUGCUCCUCUGCCCAGACCCUUGAUGAAUAGUGCAGUCUUCUGCAGCGACUGCCACUGUUACAGCUCCACUGGCCCCGCAGCCGCCACACAGAUUCCUCCAGGGAUCCUCAGGACUCAGUGCACCAGAAUCUCAAGGACAUGGCAGGCUGCAGGACCCCAGUUGCACCAAACUGCCAUCCCCUCCUGCCUGGUUUCCCUUCUUCAUGAACCGAUCAAUGGGCCAUAGCCAGGUUGGGAUGCAUGUCUUCCACAGGAUGGGAACUACCUCCAGCUGAUCAGUUAACAGUUCAGUUGGGGACCUUUGAGUAAAAUAGAUGACCCUCUAUUAGGUGGUUGGGCCUCUUCCAAUCAGUUGACAGCCUACAGAGAACAAAGACUGAUCUCCCCCCAGCAAGAAGGAAUUCUCCAGCUGAAUGCCUUUGGACUGAAAUGACAACUCUUCCUUGAAUCUCCAGCCUGCCAGCCUACUCUGCAAAUUUUGGACUUACCAAGCCUCCAUGAUUACAUGAGCCAAUUCCUUAAAAUAAAUGUCCUUCUAUAUAUA
rnacentral:lncRNA from 1 species